rnacentral:rRNA from 1 species
CCACAGCGAUGUGGUCUCAGCAAAGAGUCCCUCCCGACUGUUUACCAAAAACACAGCACUUUGCCAACUCGUAAGAGGAAGUAUAAGGUGUGACGCCUGCCCGGUGCUCGAAGGUUAAGAGGAUGCGUCAGUCGCAAGAUGAAGCGUUGAAUUGAAGCCCGAGUAAACGGCGGCCGUAACUAUAACGGUCCUAAGGUAGCGAAAUUCCUUGUCGGUUAAAUACCGACCUGCAUGAAUGGCGUAACGAGAUGGGAGCUGUCUCAACCAGAGAUUCAGUGAAAUUGUAGUGGAGGUGAAAAUUCCUCCUACCCGCGGCAAGACGGAAAGACCCCGUGGACCUUUACUACAACUUAGCACUGCUAACGGGAAUAUCAUGCGCAGGAUAGGUGGGAGGCUUUGAAGUAAGGGCUUUGGCUCUUAUGAG